UACGUAGGGUGCAAGCGUUAAUCGGAAUUACUGGGCGUAAAGCGUGCGCAGGCGGUUUUGUAAGUCUGUCGUGAAAGCCCCGGGCUUAACCUGGGAAUUGCGAUGGAGACUGCAAGGCUUGAAUCUGGCAGAGGGGGGUAGAAUUCCACGUGUAGCAGUGAAAUGCGUAGAGAUGUGGAGGAACACCGAUGGCGAAGGCACUUUACUGGGCUAUUACUAACACUCAGAGACGAAAGCUAGGGUAGCAAAUGGG
rnacentral:rRNA from 1 species